rnacentral:rRNA from 1 species
GUGGGGAAUAUUCCGCAAUGGACGAAAGUCUGACGGAGCAACGCCGCGUGAGUGAUGAAGGUUUUCGGACUGUAAAGCUCUGUUGUUUAGGACGAAAGUGCCUGUUGCAAACAGUUACAGGUAUUGACGGUACUAAACGAGGAAGCCACGGCUAACUACGUGCCAGCAGCCGCGGUAAUACGUAGGUGGCAAGCGUUGUCCGGAAUUAUUGGGCGUAAAGAGCAUGUAGGCGGGAAUCUAAGUCUGUUGUGAAAAUGCGUGGCUCAACCCCGUAUUGCGAUGGAAACUGGGUUUCUUGAGUGCAGGAGAGGAAAGGGGAAUUCCCAGUGUAGCGGUGAAAUGCGUAGAUAUUGGGAGGAACACCAGUGGCGAAGGCGCCUUUCUGGACGAUGUCUGACGCUGAGGCGCGAAAGCUAGGGGAGCGAACGGGAUUAGAUACCCGAGUAGUCC